GAAGAUCAGUACUGAAGUCAAUAGCAGUUGGUUGAGGGUUAAUCGAGCAAUCAACAAAGUCCAAGAGAACCCACAAACGGAGUGAGACAAAUGUGAAUUCCAAGCCCGAGCUGCUCUGCCAGCGACCGAAGAUGCCUUCCACAGCAGCGACACAACAAGGGGUUAACAACACUCCACAUUAACCUGCUACUGAAUCAAAUGCCCAGGGUGUCCAACAGCAGGAUGGAAGCGGAGACACCGAGGGGCCACACAGUUCAACAAAACGCCUCCUUCUUACAUAAAGUCUACAGCCCGGAUUUGAGUUCGCGCUACACUGCAAGAUUAUUCCGGAAGAAACGGACGAGCAGUUACUCCACCAUGACAAGUAUGAGUGUCUCUUUCCACACGUGUCACUGUCACUCUGUAACUCACACUUUGGCACUGCCUCUCACACUGUCAUUAACGAGUAUUCAUGUCACUCUUUCA